rnacentral:rRNA from 1 species
UACGGGGGGAGCAAGCGUUGUUCGGAUUUACUGGGCGUAAAGGGCGCGUAGGCGGCGUGACAAGUCACUUGUGAAAUCUCCGGGCUUAACUCGGAGCGGCCAAGUGAUACUGUCGUGCUAGAGUGCGGAAGGGGCUACUGGAAUUCUCGGUGUAGCGGUGAAAUGCGUAGAUAUCGAGAGGAACACCUGCGGCGAAGGCGGGUUGCUGGGCUGACACUGACGCUGAGGCGCGAAAGCUAGGGGAGCGAACGGG